rnacentral:rRNA from 1 species
CCUACGGGUGGCAGCAGUGGGGAAUAUUGGACAAUGGGCGAAAGCCUGAUCCAGCCAUGCCGCGUGUGUGAAGAAGGCCUUCGGGUUGUAAAGCACUUUCAGUGGGGAAGAAAGCCUGUGGGCUAAUACCCUCGAGGAAGGACAUCACCCACAGAAGAAGCACCGGCUAACUCCGUGCCAGCAGCCGCGGUAAUACGGAGGGUGCGAGCGUUAAUCGGAAUUACUGGGCGUAAAGCGCGCGUAGGCGGUCUGAUAAGCCGGUUGUGAAAGCCCCGGGCUCAACCUGGGAACGGCAUCCGGAACUGUCAGGCUAGAGUGCAGGAGAGGAAGGUAGAAUUCCCGGUGUAGCGGUGAAAUGCGUAGAGAUCGGGAGGAAUACCAGUGGCGAAGGCGGCCUUCUGGACUGACACUGACGCUGAGGUGCGAAAGCGUGGGUAGCGAACAGGAUUAGAUACCCCAGUAGUC